UUAGUUGUCAGCUAAGUGGCGCACGGGUGAGUAAUGUAUAGGUAAUAUGCCUCUUACUAAGGGAUAACAAUUGGAAACGAUUGCUAAUACCUUAUAUGCCUUUAAGACUUAAGUCUGCAAGGGAAAGAUUUAUUGGUAAGAGAUUAGCCUGUAUUGUAUCAGUUAGUUGGUGGGGUAAUGGCCUACCAAGACAAUGACGCAUAACUGGUUUGAGAGGAUGAUCAGUCACACUGGAACUGAGACACGGUCCAGACUCCUACGGGAGGCAGCAGUGGGGAAUAUUGCACAAUGGGGGAAACCCUGAUGCAGCAACGCCGCGUGGAGGAUGACACAUUUCGGUGCGUAAACUCCUUUUAUAUAGGAAGAUAAUGACGGUACUAUAUGAAUAAGCACCGGCUAACUCCGUGCCAGCAGCCGCGGUAAUACGGAGGGUGCAAGCGUUACUCGGAAUCACUGGGCGUAAAGAGCGUGUAGGCGGGUAUAUAAGUCAGAAGUGAAAUCCAAUAGCUCAACUAUUGAACUGCUUUUGAAACUGUAUACCUAGAAUGUGGGAGAGGUAGAUGGAAUUUCUGGUGUAGGGG
rnacentral:rRNA from 1 species